GUGCUCACUUGGGCAACAAAUACACUAAAAUUGGAAUGAUACAGAGAAGAUUAGCAUAGCCCCUGCGCAAGGGUGACACACAAAUUCAUGAAGCGUUCCAUAUUUUA
ensembl:snRNA U6 U6 spliceosomal RNA